rnacentral:rRNA from 1 species
CUUGCUACUUAUGCCGGCGACCGGCGGACGGGUGCGUAACGCGUAUGUAACCUACCUUUGACAGGGGGAUAACAUCGAGAAAUUGGUACUAAUACCCCAUAACAUCACCGGAGGCAUCUUCGGUGGUUGAAAACUCCGGUGGUAAUGGAUGGGCAUGCGUUGUAUUAGUUAGUUGGUGGGGUAACGGCUCACCAAGACAACGAUACAUAGGGGGACUGAGACGGUUAACCCCCACAUUGGUACUGAGACACGGACCAAACUCCUACGGAAGGCAGCAG